rnacentral:misc_RNA from 1 species
CGCGUCGACACUUCGACGCGUCGCUCUGCUUAAGUAUCCACGACAAAAGAACACUUGUGAAAAGGGACCAAGGGAAGGCAGUGACUCGGAGAAACAGGUGGAAAACUGGAAGAUUGAAAUUCUGCAUGGCGCGUUGUUGUUUGGACGAUAUCGAAGCCACUGAAAGGGCUGACUUAUGACUUCACGCUGCAACACUGACCGG